GAUUAACGCUGGCGGCGUGCAUAACACAUGCAAGUCGAACGAAGUGGCGGACGGGUGAGUAACGCGUGAGUAACCUGCCUUAGAGAAGGGGAUAGCCUUUGGAAACGAAGAAUAAUACCCUAUACUCUAAGAUGGACUUGCGUCUGAUUAGUUAGUUGGUGAGGUAACGGCCCACUAAGUCAGCGAUCACUAGCCGGCAUUGGAGAGUGUACGGCCACACUGGGACAGAGACACGGCGCAGACUCUACGGGAGGCAGCAGUGGGGAAGUUUGCACAAUGGGGGAAAGCCUGAUGCAGCGACGCCGCGUGAUUUAGAAGGCCUGCGGGUAGGAAAAAUCUUUUCUAUGGGAAGCAGUACCAUAGGAAUAAGGACCGGCUAAUUACGUGCCAGCAGCCGCGGUAAUUC
rnacentral:rRNA from 1 species